ACUUAAAUAACUUAUAUUUUAGAGUAUAAUAUUGAAGAUAUUAAAGAAGUUUUUUAAACUUUUAAGUA
rnacentral:tRNA from 1 species